rnacentral:sRNA from 1 species
UAUUCGUUCUUUCGUUCUCAAACCGUCGUCAAGACUAGAAGGAAAAUGAGAGCUAAGUGGCGUAAGAAGCGUAUGCGUAGGUUGAAGCGUAAGCGCAGGAAGAUGCGUGCACGUUCCAAGUAAGCUGUGCCCAGCCAUCGACCGCUAAUGGAACUUUUUGACACUACAACAACACCAAGUCCGUAAAGAGCAUGCCGUUUUAAGCCAAAUCACGAAUUUUCGCCCUCUACUUUUGACAUGAGAGAAAGGGACGCGAAAGGGCGGGAUCUGGCCCACGUAAUUUUCCACACAAAAAAAAUACACGAAGAAAUCUGCAUUUAAAAACGCAAAAUUUCUUGUUGAAGUUUUCUUCUAAAUAAAUUACUGGAGUUUCUUAACAAAAUGUUCCCCAUGAAAAAAAAAA